CAACCCCUCAUUGGCUCCUUCACCUCUCGUCUUCCAUCAUCACCAUUCACCAGUUGCUUGAUCAGCUACAUCUCCGACGACUCCAACAACAUCACACAUGGCUGACGACGGCUGAAACUCCAAUUGCCUUACUCACGUUUUCCUCACCAACAUCUAUUUCCAACACCAGAGAAGGCGGAGGUGAUGCAAGCACUCGAAUCUGACGAGACAAUACAAACUUGAGCGUUGACCUCUUUCUUUGUCUCGCACUUGAAAGAAUGUUAUCGAAUCAGAAGUGACAAAUACAAUAGAUUUCAUGUUUGAUUUCAAUUUCGGUGCCCAAAUCGACCAUACAACUCCGAUUAGGUUUGAUUUUAGUUUCAAUUUCCAGUUUAAGGUUUGAUUGAGUUGUAGGUUUGGAUUACUUUCCGCAUUCAAUUUUCAGUUUGAUUUC